rnacentral:rRNA from 1 species
AUACAGAGGGUGCGAGCGUUAAUCGGAAUUACUGGGCGUAAAGCGCGCGUAGGCGGUCUAUUAAGUCAGAUGUGAAAUCCCAGGGCUCAACCUUGGAACUGCAUCUGAUACUGGUAGACUAGAGUUUUGGAGAGGGAAGUAGAAUUUCAGGUGUAGCGGUGAAAUGAAUAGAGAUCUGAAGGAAUACCAGUGGCGAAGGCGACUUCCUGGCCAAAAACUGACGCUGAGGUGCGAAAGCGUGGGUAGCAAACAGGAUUAGAAACCCCAGUAGUCC